CACGACACUACAGGCAGAAAGCCCUGGCCAAGGAACUGCAAAACUAUCAGCAAUUAUCAGUGAUUUGUGCCUCCAGCACGUUCUAUACCAGCCUGGGGAAUCAAUGCUGGCAAAAGGUGACAUGAGCCAGGCAGUCACCUCUCCACCAUCCACUGGAUGGUGAUAACAACCUUGAUACCCAAAAGGCUGAAGCCCUGACAGAGACCUGCACACUCCUUUCCAAAGGGCAGACAGGCCAUUUCUACCCCAGCUGAACACCAGUUAACACCAGAUUUAGCUACAGCAUUUAAGUACCAAGGCUGUUGAUGUGACAAAUACAAGAGAAGAUCCAGGUUCAAAACUGCAGUGAGUGGAGCUAAAAGAACAGAAAGGUGGGAUAAGACAGCCCCCAAAGACAGGGGCCACAAGCUGGGGCUCAUUUACUCUGGCUGUGAUUUCCUUUUCCUGAAGCCAUGCAGUUGGCCAGCAUGAAGCAGGAGGAUUGCAGUGGCAUUUUUAUGUAAUAACUGAAUUGUUACAGCAAGAGGAAAUUUAUUUUGGAAUGACUUUUCAAAGCAAG